CGGGCGGCAGCAAAAGCAGCAUCAUCAUCAACAGCAGCAACAAACAAAAAUGGUAUAACCGCAACUAGAGUAACACAACUGAUGACAGUUGAACACAAAGGAGCCUAACUGACGCACACUGAAUCCCCGAGCGUAAGAAAUAAACAACAAAAACGGAUAAUAAGAAUUAUAAAAGAAACAAAAAUUUUUUUUGGUGUCUGAGUGAGAAAAUUUAAGUGAAAGAAGAAAUAUUUAAAGGAUAACAAAUAUGAUUUGUUAAAUUUGAAAUAAAAAAAGAUAAAUUUAUAAAAACGAGUUUAGAGAUAAAAAAAUAACUUUUAGAAUUAAAACGAAUGUGUUGGAAUAUAAAACGCGACGUGCCGCUUAAAAGUUGUUGAAGCUAAAAAUAAAACAAAUUUAACAUUUACGCUUUAAAAAGCUAAAACGGGAGUUUGUUUAAUUUUGUGUUAUAUAUUUUUUUUAUUACUUUGUCUCAUAAAGAGGCAUAAAAAUAUAAUGGAAUAAUAACAACAACAACAGCAACAACAUUGACAACUACUUAUAAUGAAAAGUCAUAAAUGAAAAUAUUAUAUGAGCAAAAAAAGCUGAAAAAAAUAAUCAUAAAUACUAGAGAAUAUGAAUAAUAAGUAAAACAAAAAGAAAUUUCUUAAGAAAUAAACGAGUAACGGAAACGGAAAUCAAACAAACAAAUAUAAUACUCAUACAAAAAUCUGGUCUUCAUUUUGUUUCAAAAAACAAGUGUUUGUUUGUGUGUGUUUUAAAAGCAAACAAAGUGUUGUUGUUGCUAAGUGUUGGUGUGAGUGAGUAAACGUUGCUGCCACACAAAAGUAAACAAAAUUAAAAAAUCAAUUAAAAAAUUGUGUGUUUUUGUGUAAAAAAGGAAAUAACAUAAAUAGAAAAAGUUUUGUGAAAAAAUCUUUGAAAUCUGUUAAAAAUAAGGAAAAAAAUUGUUGCUUACAAAAAAAGUCGCAAAAAGAGUGAAAUAUAAAGAAAAGAGAAAUAUUUACCAAACCCACACUUAAAGCUUGAAAAGAAAUAAAAGAGUUAAAUAUAAAUAUUUAAACAAAAAGCAACUAACAAAAGUAAAAAAAAAAUAAAAGAAAAAUACAUAAAAUCCUUUAAACAAAAGUUUAGAAAACUAAUUUAAAUUAGUUCAUGUUGAACAAGAAAACUACAAAACAGCUAAAUAAGCCGCAUACACACACACAAACACACACUCGCAGUUAAGAAGCAACAGCAAAAGUAGCAACAUUUGUGACACAGUAUUUGCAACAUUAUAUAUGUUUGACAAGUCACCCUUAAACUAAGGACCUGGUAGCAUACUGACUAUUGCCACUGUUGCGACAACAUUCAUUCAAAAAUAUUUUAAUAAAAACAACAACAACAAAAAAACACAUGUGCAGCUGUUGUAUGUAUUAACUACAACUACAACAUAAGUAGAAACUAAUAUUAAAAAAGCCAACAUCAUCAUCCAAAUAAAAGUUUGUGUUCUUUUUUUUCACUUUUUAAUAAACUUUAGCAGCAGCUCAGCGUAAAAAAAGAAAAAAAAGGCAAACAACUGAAUGUGAAGAAAUCAAAACACAAUGUGUAUCUGGGAGACAAAGGAGUAAGAGAAUGAACGAGAUGCUUAAAGGAAAUAUGUUCGAUCGCAAUGUAUGAACAACAUUUGUUUGUGUCUAUGGAUACUUGUGAUAAUUUCAAACUUAAUGCUUCUUUAAAAACAGAAUUUCAAUAUUAAUGUUGAAGAUUUGCUGAAAUAGUUUCAUUUUGAUUUGGCAAUAAAAAAAGAUACAAUCAAUUCCUUACCUACUACUGUGUGACC